rnacentral:rRNA from 1 species
CUAAAAGAUGGAUUACAGGGUAAGUUUUUUUAAAUUUAAUAAUUGAAGUUAUUUUAAUUUGUGAAGAAACAAUUAUAUAAAUUAAAGACAAGAAGACCCUAAGAAUUUAAGAAUUUUUAUUAAUAUAUUAUAUGUAUAUAUAUAAAUAAAAUUCUUAGUUGGGG